AUUGAACGCUGGCGGCAUGCCUUACACAUGCAAGUCGAACGGCAGCAUGAUCUAGCUUGCUAGAUUGAUGGCGAGUGGCGAACGGGUGAGUAAUACAUCGGAACGUGCCCUGUAGUGGGGGAUACCUAGUCGAAAGAUUAGCUAAUACCGCAUACGACCUGAGGGUGAAAGUGGGGGACCGCAAGGCCUCAUGCUAUAGGAGCGGCCGAUGUCUGUUUAGCUAGUUGGUGAGGUAAAGGCUCACCAAGGCGACGAUCAGUAGCUGGUCUGAGAGGACGAUCAGCCACACUGGGACUGAGACACGGCCCAGACUCCUACGGGAGGCAGCAGGGGGGAAUUUUGGACAAGGGGCGAAAGCCUGAUCCAGCAAUGCCGCGGGGGUGAAGAAGGCCUUCGGGUUGUAAAGCACUUUUGUCGGGAAAGAAAUGGCUCUGGUUAAUACCUGGGGUCGAUGACGGUACCGGAAGAAUAAGGACCGGCUAACUACGU
rnacentral:rRNA from 1 species